ensembl:snRNA U6 U6 spliceosomal RNA
GUGCUCACUUCAGCAUCCCAUACACUAAAACAGGAACAAAACAGAAAAGAAUAACAUGGCCCCUAAAAAAGAUGACAUAAUUCGUGAAGUGUUCCCUAUUUUU